rnacentral:rRNA from 1 species
AGCGAACGCUGGCGGCAGGCCUAACACAUGCAAGUCGAACGAACCUUUCGGGGUUAGUGGCGGCCGGGUGAGUAACACGUGGGAACGUGCCUUUAGGUUCGGAAUAACUCAGGGAAACUUGUGCUAAUACCGAAUGUGCCCUUCGGGGGAAAGAUUAAUCGCCUUUAGAGCGGCCCGCGUCUGAUUAGCUAGUUGGUUGAGGUAAUGGCUCACCAAGGCGACGAUCAGUAGCUGGUCUGAGAGGAUGAUCAGACACAUUGGGACUGAGACACGGCCCAAACUCCUACGGGAGGCAGCAGUGGGGAAUCGUGCGCAAUGGGCGAAAGGCUGACGCAGCCAUGACGCGUGAAUGAUGAAGGUCUUAGGAUUGUAAAAUUCUUUCAACGGGGACGAUAAUGACGGUACCCGGAGAAGAAGCCCCGGCUAACUUCGUG